GAUGAAGAACCGUAGCGAAAUGCGAUACUUGGUGUGAAUUGCAGAAUCCCGUGAACCAUCGAGUCUUUGAACGCAAGUUGCGCCCGAAGCCAUUAGGCCGAGGGCACGCCUGCCUGGGCGUCACACGUCGUUGCCCCCCCAUCUACUCCUUCGGGAUUGCGGGGGGCGGAUGAUGGCCUCCCGUGCGCCUCGCCGCGCGGUUGGCAUAAAUGCCAAGUCCUCGGCGACGCACGCCACGACAAUCGGUGGUUGCGAAACCUCGGUUGCCCGUCGUGUGCGGUCGUCGCGCAUCGAGGGCUCGAAAAAAUUGCCGGGUUCCGGCUCGGCUUUCAACGCGACCCCAGGUCAGGCGGGGUUACCCGCUGAAUUUAAGCAUAUCAAUAAGCGGAGGA
rnacentral:misc_RNA from 1 species